GACUCAUGGCUCAGGAUGAACGCUGGCGGCGUGCUUAACACAUGCAAGUCGAACGGGAAAUAUUUCAUUGAGACUUCGGUGGAUUUGAUCUAUUUCUAGUGGCGGACGGGUGAGUAACGCGUGGGUAACCUGCCUUAUACAGGGGGAUAACAGUCAGAAAUGGCUGCUAAUACCGCAUAGGCGCACAGAGCUGCAUGGCUCAGUGUGAAAAACUCCGGUGGUAUAAGAU
rnacentral:rRNA from 1 species